GUAGGUGGCAAGCGUUGUCCGGAAUUAUUGGGCGUAAAGCGCGCGCAGGCGGUUCUUUAAGUCUGAUGUGAAAGCCCACGGCUCAACCGUGGAGGGUCAUUGGAAACUGGAGAACUUGAGUACAGAAGAGGAAAGCGGAAUUCCACGUGUAGCGGUGAAAUGCGUAGAGAUGUGGAGGAACACCAGUGGCGAAGGCGGCUUUCUGGUCUGUAACUGACGCUGAGGCGCGAAAGCGUGGGGAGCAAACAGGAUUGAUACCCUGGUAGUCCACGCCGUAAACGAUGAGUGCUAAGUGUUAGGGGGGUUUCCGCCCCCCUUAGUGCUGCAGCUAACGCAUUAAGCACUCCGCCUGGGAUACGGCCGCAAGGCUG
rnacentral:rRNA from 1 species